AGUCAAUGCUCGCAAGAGUGAACUAGCUAACUGAAAUCAUAUGACUCAUGAAUUUGGUGAUUAUGAUAACAUAAGGGAAAAAAAUGAUAUUACCUUAUUAUUAGUGUUGUCCAAAACUGGUGCCAGAAGACUCGGUAAGACCAGAGACGCAAACGUUAGUCAUCUUAAUCAGGCGUAAAGGGUAUGUAGGCUGCUUUAAAAGUUUAUUGUUUUUAAUAGCUCUGUAACCGUAAUACUAUCUAAUUUGGGUAGUAUAUAAAAUUUAUAAUGAAAUAAAUGAUAUUUAAAAUAUAUCCGUGUAUCAGAAAAAAAAUAAAUGAAUAAAAGCUAGAAUCAAAUUGAGGAUAAUCCAAAUAAUACUUAGAGUAGGGGUUAAAUCCGCAGAUACUAAGGGGAAUACUAAUGGUGAAGACUUUUUAUCUACUAUUGAUUGACGCUGAGAAACGAAGGUGAGAAUAGGAAAUAGGAUUUGAUACCCAGAUACCUCUCACUGUCAACGAUGAAUGGUGGUUGUUAGUUUUAGUAAAAACUGGUAACGAUGUUAACACGAUAACCAUUCCGCCUUGCGAGUACGGUUGCAAAACUGAAACCAAAAAAAUUAGUCGGUCUCGAA
rnacentral:rRNA from 1 species